GUUUCUACCCUGAAUGCACCAGUUCUUUUCUGACCUCAGAAGCUAAGCAGGGUCAGUUCCAGUUCCCACUUGGAUGGGAGACCUCCCUUUAAUAUUCUAAACACC
rnacentral:rRNA from 14 species